GCUGGGUCCACAGCCUUGGCCCUCGCCCCGAGGGGACAGCCCGCCGGGGCCCUUCGUAGAGGUGCCAGCAGGCGCGCCAAGCGACCCCGCAUCGCCAGGGACCCGAGGUUCUGCAUGUCAGACACUGAUUUCCAGCGCCUGUUCUCUGCCUUGACUACCUUUUACAUCCACUGCCACGCCUCCACAAUCUUACCUAACGACCCACUUCCCAUCUCCCUCGUGGCUUCUGAUGGGAUCUGGCACUGGAAGAAAUGCCCAGGGUCUCACAGCUAGAAGAAGAGGAGGAGCAAAAAGAUGAAGAAGAAGAAGUCUAAUGGGAUGAUGUCAAUUGGGGAACAACAACAAAUUGUGCUCUUUUUGUAGGUGGCAAAGAAUGGGAAUCUGAGGGAGUAUCCAACAAGUUUGACACAUGGAUGUGAUGGAAUACUGUUGUGUUGAACUUUUAUCAGUAUAAUUACCAAGCAUAAUUCCAGAAGACUAAUGAUUAAAUAUGUCGCCUCCACCCCAAUAGAGAGGUGAAGGACUCAGAAGACAAACAUUUUAGGCCAUGGCCACUGUGGAAAUUCGUAUUGAUCGACUAUGCCUGUUUGUAAUGAGUUUUGUUUUUCUGGUGUUCUCGAUGGGAAGCUGAGGGUGGUAGGGUAAAAAGGUGGGCAUUGGCUGCAUAAAACAAAAAACUAAACUUGGGAAUUCUAUGACCAAUCAAAAUUCCUGAGGACUCAUGAUGAAACAUGCUACCCACAUCCUGGUAGGGAGUUGGUGGUUUCAGGGCACAAACAGACAUCCUUUUGGACAUAGUCAAUGCAAACAUUAGUUUUGCUUAGUUAUACCUGAUGCGAACAAGGGUUCGGGUUUUUCUUGCUUUCUGGAUGGAGGGCAACAGAAGGGAAGUGGAAGGGAGAGAAGGCUGAUCUUUGAAAAUAAAAUAAAAUUUAAUUUAAAAAAAAGUCAAACUCUAACAUCUGGGCUAUCUCCGAGUUGAGGAACCCUAAGACCUUGGGUGUACUGCAUGGUUGUUACUUUCCAGGUUCCUGCAUGGUGUCUUUCACAUAAUAAACUGUAUGAUUUAACCUAAAAACAAAGAAACAAAAUAA